rnacentral:rRNA from 1 species
ACGGGGUGCAGCAGGCGCGAAACCUUCGCAAUGUGCGAAAGCACGACGAGGUUAUUCCGAGUGAUUUCCGCUGAGGAAAUCUUUUCUCAGAUCUAAAACGUCUGGGGAAUAAGGGGAGGGCAAGUCUGGUGUCAGCCGCCGCGGUAAUACCAGCUCCUCGAGUGGUCAGGGCGUUUAUUGGGCCUAAAGCAUCCGUAGCCGGCUCAGCUGGUCUCCUGUUAAAUCCAACGGCUCAACCGUUGGUCUGCAGGAGAUACCGCUGGGCUAGGAGGCGGGAGAGGCGGACGGUACUCCGAGGGUAGGGGUAAAAUCCUUUGAUCCCCGGAAGACCACCAGUGGCGAAGGCGGUCCGCCAGAACGCGCUCGACGGUGAGGGAUGAAAGCUGGGGGAGCGAACCGGAUUAGAUACCCGGGUAGUCCCAGCCGUAAACGAUGCGAGCUAGGUGACACUACGCCUUCGGGGCGUAGUGGUGCCGCAGGGAAGCCGUUAAGCUCGCCGCCUGGGGAGUACGGACGCAAGUCUGAAACUUAAAGGAAUUGGCGGGGGAGCAC